CUUGAACGCUGGCGGCAGGCCUAACACAUGCAAGUCGAACGGAGAGGCGGAAGGGAGAGUAAUGCCUAGGAAUCUGCCUGGUAGUGGGGGAUAACGCCCGGAAACGGGCGAUAAUACCGCAGACUAUAAGAGCAGCCUCGGGCGGAUUAGCUAGUUGGUGGGGUAAAGGCCUACAAAGGGGACGAUCCGGAACUGGUCUGAGAGGAUGAUCAGUCACACGGGAACUGAGACACGGUCCAGACUCAUACGGGAGGCAGCAGUGGGGAAUUUGUGACAAUGGGCGAAAGCCUGAUCCAGCCAUGCCGCGUGUGUGAAGAAGGUCUUCGGAUUGUAAAGCACUUUAGGUUGGGAAGCGGUACCAACAGAAUAAGCACCGGCUAACUUCGUGCCAGCAGCCGCGGUAAUAC
rnacentral:rRNA from 1 species